rnacentral:rRNA from 1 species
AUUGCAGUCUGCAACUCGACUGCAUGAAGUCGGAAUCGCUAGUAAUCGCGGAUCAGCAUGCCGCGGUGAAUACGUUCCCGGGCCUUGUACACACCGCCCCGUCACACCAUGAGAGUCGGGAACACCCGAAGUCCGUAGCCUAACCGCAAGGGGGGCGCGGCCGAAGGUGGGUUCGAUAAUUGGGGUGAAGUCGUAACAAGGUAUC